CCCCGGAAAACAUAUAGUUUACUUUAUAUUAUCACGUGCGCCGUAGGCUGACUAGGCUCGAAAAUCGUGACGCUUCUACUAAAACAAGGAUGGUAAAAAUAUUUCUCAGUAUUUAUAGUGAGUUUCCGUAAUUUAUUUGUGUUGAAAUUCUCCAUUGAAUUGAAGCACUGGCGUAUUUCCUUCUCAUUUUCCUUCUCCUUUCCACUAAGCACAUAUACACAAACAUUGAUGGCAUGCGACGUGCAAGCACUUGCCUGGCAAAAUAAUUUUUUAUUUACGAUUAUUUUUUACAAUUGACUUGAUGUGUUUAUGAUACGGACAUACAUUUUCUGUGUUCACGUAUUUCCGAUAAUAGGUAAUGUCUUUGUUAAAGUCAAUCUACUUUCUAAAGAGUCUUUCAAAUACAUGUCUUUCGAGGUGUCGGAAUUCCAUCUGCCUUGAAGUUUAAUAAGCAAACGAUUUAAAUUAGGAUUGUUCCCUUGAGAAUUUGCCGUGAACGAGGCUCCACCAGAUCGUAAACUAUG
rnacentral:lncRNA from 1 species